rnacentral:rRNA from 1 species
AUAACGACUCUCGGCAACGGAUAUCUCGGCUCUGGCAUCGAUGAAGAAMGUAGCGAAAUGCGAUACUUGGUGUGAAUUGCAGAAUCCCGUGAACCAUCGAGUCUUUGAACGCAAGUUGCGCCCGAAGCCAUCUGGUUGAGGGCACGUCUGCCUGGGCGUCACGC